rnacentral:tRNA from 1 species
UACUUUGGUCUUGUAAGCCAAAAAUGAAGCCACAGACUUCUUAGAGCA